rnacentral:misc_RNA from 1 species
GAUGAAAGAACGCAGCGAAAUGCGAUACGUAAUGUGAAUUGCAGAAUUCAGUGAAUCAUCGAGUCUUUGAACGCACAUUGCGCCCCCUGGUAUUCCGGGGGGCAUGCCUGUCCGAGCGUCAUUGCUGCCCUCAAGCACGGCUUGUGUGUUGGGCCUCCGUCCUCCUCCCGGGGGACGGGCCCGAAAGGCAGCGGCGGCACCGCGUCCGGUCCUCGAGCGUAUGGGGCUUCGUCACCCGCUCUUGUAGGCCCGGCCGGCGCUUGCCGACACAUCAAUCUUUUUUCCAGGUUGACCUCGGAUCAGGUAGGGAUACCCGCUGAACUUAAGCAUAUCAAUAAGCGGAGGA